rnacentral:rRNA from 1 species
UACGUAGGUGGCAAGCGUUGUCCGGAUUUACUGGGCGUAAAGGGCGUGUAGGCGGUCUGUUAAGUCUAGGGUGAAAGCUCCCGGCUCAACUGGGAGAGGUCCUUGGAUACUGGCGGACUUGAGGGAGGUAGAGGAAAGUGGAAUUCCCGGUGUAGUGGUGAUAUGCGUAGAUAUCGAGAGGAACACCUGCGGCGAAGGCGGGUUGCUGGGCUGACACUGACGCUGAAGCGCGAAAGCUAGGGGAGCGAACGGG